rnacentral:rRNA from 1 species
UACAGAGGUCUCAAGCGUUGUUCGGAUUCAUUGGGCGUAAAGGGUGUGUAGGUGGCGCUGCUAAGUCGGGUGUGAAAUUUCGGAGCUUAACUCCGAAACUGCAUUCGAUACUGGCGUGCUUGAGGACUGGAGAGGAGGACUGGAAUUCAUGGUGUAGCAGUGAAAUGCGUAGAGAUCAUGAGGAAGACCAGUGGCGAAGGCGGGAUCUCUCGGACAGUUCCUGACACUGAGACACGAAGGCCAGGGGAGCAAACGGG